rnacentral:rRNA from 1 species
AUUGAACGCUGGCGGUAGGCCUAACACAUGCAAGUCGAGCGGAUGAAGGGAGCUUGCUCCUGGAUUCAGCGGCGGACGGGCGAGUAAUGCCUAGGAACCUGCCUGGUAGCGGGGGAUAACGUCCGGAAACGGGCGCUAAUACCGCAUAAGUCCUGAGGGCGUACGUGGGGGAUCUUCGGACCUUCCGCUCUCAGAUGAGCCUAGGUCGGAUUAGCUAGUUGGUGGGGUAAAGGCCUACCAAGGCGACGAUCCGUAACUGGUCUGAGAGGAUGAUCAGUCACACUGGAACUGAGACACGGUCCAGACUCCUACGGGAGGCAGCAGUGGGGAAUAUUGGACAAUGGGCGAAAGCCUGAUCCAGCCAUGCCGCGUGUGUGAAGAAGGUCUUCGGAUUGUAAAGCACUUUUAGUUGGGAGGAAGAGCAGUAGGUUAAUACCUUGCUGUUUUGACGUUACCAACAGAAUAAGCACCGGCUAACUUCGUG